GAUGAAGAACGUAGCGAAAUGCGAUAAGUAAUGUGAAUUGCAGAAUUCAGUGAAUCAUCGAAUCUUUGAACGCACCUUGCACCCUUUGGCAUUCUGAAGGGUAUGCUCGUUUGAGUGUCAUUGUACUCUCACACUCCCGAUCUUUGCAUUGGGAGCAGUGGACUUGGGUUUGCUGCUUCACCGUCGCUUACCUCAAAUAGGUUAGUGCAACUCUUGGUUGGACAUAGUACGGCGUGAUAAGUGUUCUUCGCCGGUGCCUCGCAAAGAGGGUGGCCGAUCGGGAUGUUGAGCUCCAAACCGUCUUCGGACAAUCUCUGACGACUUGACCUCAAAUCGAGUAAGACUACCCGCUGAACUUAAGCAUAUCAAUAAGCGGAGGA
rnacentral:misc_RNA from 1 species